rnacentral:rRNA from 1 species
UACGUAGGGGGCAAGCGUUAUCCGGAUUUAUUGGGUUUAAAGGGAGCGUAGGCCGGUCUUUUAAGUCUGAUGUGAAAGCCUUCGGCUUAACCGGAGUAGUGCAUUGGAAACUGGGAGACUUGAGUGCAGAAGAGGAGAGUGGAACUCCAUGUGUAGCGGUGAAAUGCGUAGAUAUAUGGAAGAACACCAGUGGCGAAAGCGGCUCUCUGGUCUGUAACUGACGUUGAGGCUCGAAAGCGUGGGGAGCAAACAGG